rnacentral:rRNA from 1 species
GUGCCUAACACAUGCAAGUCGAGCGGUAACAGGCGUAGCAAUACGUGCUGACGAGCGGCGAACGGGUGAGUAACGCUUCGGAAUCUGCCCAAUGGUGGGGAAUAACCAGCCGAAAGGUUGGCUAAUACCGCAUGAGCCCUACGGGGGAAAGCGGGGGAUCGCAAGACCUCGCGCCGAUGGAUGAGCCGAAGCCGGAUUAGCUAGUUGGUAGGGUAACGGCCUACCAAGGCGACGAUCCGUAGCUGGUCUGAGAGGACGACCAGCCACACUGGGACUGAGACACGGCCCAG